CCUACGGGAGGCAGCAGUGGGGAAUAUUGGACAAUGGGCGAAAGCCUGAUCCAGCCAUGCCGCGUGUGUGAAGAAGGCCUUCGGGUUGUAAAGCACUUUUGGCGGGAACGAAAAGGACUGUGCCAAUACCACGGUUCGAUGACGGUACCCGCAGAAUAAGCACCGGCUAACUACGUGCCAGCAGCCGCGGUAAUACGUAGGGUGCGAGCGUUAAUCGGAAUUACUGGGCGUAAAGCGUACGCAGGCGGUUUGUUAAGCUAGAUGUGAAAGCCCCGGGCUCAACCUGGGAACUGCAUUUCGAACUGGCAAACUAGAGUAUGAUAGAGGGUGGUAGAAUUUCAGGUGUAGCGGUGAAAUGCGUAGAGAUCUGAAGGAAUACCGAUGGCGAAGGCAGCCACCUGGGUCAAUACUGACGCUCAUGUACGAAAGCGUGGGGAGCAAACGGGAUUAGAUACCCCGGUAGUCCACGCCGUAAACGAUGUCUACUAGGAGCUGGGGUCUUCGGACAACUUUUCCAAAGCUAACGCAUUAAGUAGACCGCCUGGGGAGUACGGCCGCA
rnacentral:rRNA from 1 species